CUGGGCCUUGUUUGACGCUGAGGCACGAAAGCGUGGGUAGCGAAUGGGAUUAGAUACCCCAGUAGUCCACGCCGUAAACGAUGCAUACUCGGCAUAUGGAGUAUCGACCCUCUGUGUGUCCAAGCUAACGCGUUAAGUAUGCCGCCUGGGAAGUACGAGCGCAAGCUUAAAACUCAAAGGAAUAGACGGGGAUCCGCACAAGCGGUGGAGCAUGUGGUUUAAUUCGACAUUAAGCGAGGAACCUCACCAGGGCUAGAAAUUCAGCUGCAUAUCUUUGGAAACAUUGAUAGCCUUCGAGGGUGCUGAACAGGUGUUGCAUGGUUGUCGUCAGCUCGUGCCGUAAGGUGUUCCAUUAAGUUGGGUAACGAGCGCAACCCCUACUGCGUGUUACAAGUGUCACGCGGAACUGCCCCGCACUGAGCACAUUUCAGUUGAAGUGUCCUUUGUGUGGGGAGGAAGGUGGGGAUGACGUCAAAUCAGCAUGGCCCUAGACGCCCUGGGCGACACACGUGCUACAAUGGCCGGUACAACGGGUUGCCAAACCGCAAGGUGGAGCUAAUCCCUUAAAGCCGGUCCAAGUUCGGAUUGAGGUCUGCAACUCGACCUCAUGAAGUUGGAAUCGCUAGUAAUCCCGCAUCAGCCACGGCGGGGUGAAUACGUUCCCGGAUCUUGUACUCACCGCCCGUCACACCAAGGGAGCCGGGAGUACCCGAAGGCCCUCUUUCGAGGGGGACCACGGUAAGCUCGGUAACAAGGGUGAAGUCGUAACAAGGCAUCCGUAGCGGAAGCUGUGGAUG
rnacentral:rRNA from 1 species